rnacentral:rRNA from 1 species
UGAGUUAGAUGGAUCAGACCCGAAACCGAGUGAUCUAGGCAUGACCAGGAUGAAGGUAAGGUAACACUUACUGGAGGUCCGAACCCACACCUGUUGAAAAAGGUCGGGAUGAGUUGUGCCUAGGGGUGAAAGGCCAAUCAAACUCGGAGAUAGCUGGUUCUCCGCGAAAUCUAUUUAGGUAGAGCGUCAUCCGAAUACCCCGGGGGGUAGAGCACUGGAUGGGUAAUGGGGCCCCACAGGCUUACUGAUCCUAACCAAACUCCGAAUACCCGGGAGUACUAGAUGGCAGACACACGGCGGAUGCUAACGUCCGUCGUGGAGAGGGAAACAACCCUGACCUCCAGCUAAGGCCCCUAAUUCAUGGCUAAGUGGGAAAGCAGGUGAGACGGCCAAAACAACCAGGAGGUUGGCUUAGAAGCAGCCAUCCUUUAAAG